UUCCAAUUUGAUUCUCCAAUGAUAAUCAAUAGCUUUAAUCUUCAAUUCUAAUCUAAUCUAGGGUUCUUAAUCUAAGAAAGAAAGUAAAGAAUAAGUUAAUAAAAAUCUAUCCCAAGAUUGAUUUUAUGGAGUCUUAGAACUAGCCUCCCAAUCCAAGUUAAACUCAAGUAUUUAUAGUUCUAAUGGACACCCUAGCAAGUUAGGCAACUAAGAAUCCUAUUGUAGCUUAAAUUGGACAUCAAAUAACCCAAAUCAGUUGUUUCCCCACCGACUAGCGUGCCCCGCGCUGUUCCUAGGCCAUUUUGGGCGCUCCCCGCGUUAUUGUAGCAGAGAUUCUGGUGGCCCGACGCACCCUAGCACGGUCUGCGCUACUCUGUUUUCUACUGCAACAUCCUUUGGUAAAAUAGGCAUAACUUUUGAUCCCCUUGGAGUUACGAGGCCUGCCACCUAUCAAAUCGAAGAUAUCGACGAGAUCUACAACUUUAUUUCUUUGAGAAUUGACAGAUUCAGAUUCGAUCAAGGCAGAAAUCGGGCUUGAAGUAGAUGCUAUGUAAAUGGCAAACAUGACAACUCUUAGCUUUGAUCUUCGUUGAUAAAAAGGCCAUAACUCUCGCAUCCGAACUCCGAUUGGGAUGAUUCUAGAUGUUCCGAAAAGCUAAGACGUAGAUCUACAAUAAAUUCCAAGCUCCAAGCCAAGAACAUGCAUCCAACGUGGUGUUAAAAUUCCUUCAAUAUUCCUUGCAUUUGCUUGUGUAUUUUAGUCCAAAAGAAGUCCGAAUUACUUUCCCUUGCUUCUUCAUGCCAAUGUCAUGUCAUCGCCUACAAAAUAACAUAAAAUGUAUGAAAAGUAACUAAGAAACAUGAAUAUAAGCAACUAAUUCAAGUAACAGAUAUCGUAUAAGUAGGUAUAAAACCUACUUAUCAAGGAAUCAGAUAGCGGUGUCAAGAAAAGAGUCCAGCUAACAGACUAUAAACCGAGCGCUAGAUGGGAGGCACCCCAUCUAAUCUUUCUCCCUCCUUAUUUAAUUCUUAUUUACAUUUCUAAUUACUUCUUCUUCUAUGUUUAAUUCUUCAUGUUUUCUAUAUUUAGUAGAUGUUUGAUAGUUGUAAGUCUUAAUAAUAGUUUGAUUGUUUCUUCUCUAAGGUUCAAUCCAAUUUCUAUAAGCAUUCAGGAUCAAACAUAAGUCAAAAAUAUUGAAGCUGCCAGGGUACAGGGUAGCGCGACAGUGCCCAACUACAAGCCAAACAUAGUGCGACCGCGCCAUAUCUCAGUCAUAGGAAACAAACAAUGCUCAAUUUUUAGAAUUUUUAACUCAAGCAUUCGGACAGUUAGAAGUCGACACUCAGUUCCCAACUUUAGAUUAUCUCAAACUUAUCCAUCGCCUGAUAUACCAUCGGAUUUUGAGGAGGUGAACGGAGAUGACAUUGCCACUUAGGGGAGUAUUCUUUCACUUUUAAUUACAAUGAGGGCAUUGCUUGUUUUAAGUUUGGGGGUAUUGGGUUUAGUCAGUAGUUUAGAGCAUGUAAUAUAGAGUAAUUUCAUGUUACAUAUAGUUAAUUGCAUGUUAGUAGUUAUUAGUUUAAUUUUGCAGUAAAUUUUUUCUUUUUGUUUGCUUAAUAUAUGUUUAGUUGCAUAACAUUGCAUAAUCCCAGUUUUUCUAGUUAGUUGAAUUCUAAUUUGGCCAAUGAUGACAUAAAAAUUUGAUAGAUUUUUGAACUUGGUUGAUAUCUUGAGCUUAGUUAUAAUUUUAUACAUGAUAUAAUUCAUGCCUGCUUUUUAGAUGUUAUCGGGUAGCACGACAGUGUUCCUUUUUGCUUGUUGUUCAAGAUUAGCAUGCUUGUCUGCUGAGAGGAAAACAUUAUUUUUAAUGAUAGAAUUCUGUAGGAAGUGAGUAAUGACUAUGAAGACACUGAAACUCAAGUUUUGGGAAUGCAUGAGUAUACCUGCUAUCUUCUUUAAAAAAAAUUGAAUAAACACCGUGGCUAGUCUUGUUUCGGGGAAUUUGUUACUUGAGUAAGUACGCCCGAGGGAAUUGUCUUUACACCUAGCGCCCUAAGGUCUUAAUGGUAUGGGAGUCGUUGGUCGAAAGCUCGCUAAGGGGUAGCACUGUUAGACUAAUGGAAUGAGACAUUGCACAGUCGUGGGAAAUAAAAAAAAAUCAAUAAACACCGCGGAAAAGUGCGAAAAUUACCCUCGUUAGUAAAAAUAAAGCAGAAUAAACCCGUUGCAAAACCUUAGCUUGUACUGAUGUGUUGGAGUAGUUGUUGAUUCAUUUUUAUGCAUUGCUCUUGAUUUGAAACCUCAGUUUUUUGUUUUAAGCAGUAUGGCAUGUGGUAUCUUCACCUUUGUCAAGCUUAUCUGUGAACAACACACAUACACAACAUCUCUAUAGUAGGUUGGGAUUAUCUGAUUGUAUGUCAUUAUGCGCUUAGCUUAGUUUGAUGCUUUGUUCAUAUAUCUUGUAUUUCUCUGAGGCACAUCUUAUUGGAAUUCAUAUUUGGCUAAGAAUGUGGGAUUCAUUGUCAUAGUAGCGUAGCUUGCAUAGCAUGUAGAUUGCAUUAUGUUGUGUUGCUUGGGGACAAGAAACAGUUUAAGUUUGGGGGUAUUUGAUAAGUAGGUUUAUACCUACUUAUCUGAUAUCUGUUACUUGAAUUAGUUGCUUAAACUCAUGUUUCUUAGUUAUUUUUCAUGCAUUUUGUGUUUAUUUUGUAGAUUAUAUGCUUUGGAGUUGUGUGAGCGACUAUUGGUAUGAAAACGUAAGGAAAAGUAAUUUGGACAUCAUUUGGGAUUUCAUGUUCUUAGCUUGGAACUUGAAUUAUGUUGUAGAACUUGUUCUUAGCUUUCCAGAACAUCUUGAAUCAUUCCAAUCGUAGUUUGGAUGCAAGAGUUAUGACCUUUGUACCAAAGAAGUUGAACUUCAAUGUUUUGAGUGGCCAUUUGCAUAGCAGUUACUUCCAACCAAAUUUCGACCUUCAUAAAUCCAUUAUUCUCAAUUAUCAAAGAAUGAAAGUUCUAGAGCUCGUCGAGAGUUUGAAUUUGAUAGGUGGCAGUCCUCGUAACGCCUCCCGGAUCAAAAGUUAUGGCCAUUUUACCAGAGGACAAUGCAACAGAAAAUCCUUGGUGCGGGCGCGCAGAUUUUUAGUGUAUUUUGGGCACGGCCGUGCCAGUCCCUGGGCCAAAAAAAUUCCAUCUACUACUUGAGCUCGGGCGCGCCCAACUCCAGGUCAUUCCCAGCGCGGCCGCGCCACUUCAGAAGUUGUCCAGAGCUGACUUUUUCACUAAACAGUGCAAUUGGAGCAUAACUUGGAGGAGGGUUCAAUUAGGGCUUAUAUAGAGAAAAGAUAUUAGUAUGUAAGAGGGAUUCCACCCUUGGGGGAUCAAUCUAGAUUACAUAUGCUCUUUUCUUCUCUUUCUUGGUUAGAUUAUAUUAGAACCUUAGAUUUGAUCAGAGUUGAAGAUUGAAGUAAUUGGAGAGCAUAUGAAAUUCAGAAUUGGAGUAAGAGAGAUCAGAUUCGCAUUCCCAAUUCCCUAACUUCUCUUUACUUCUAUCUUUAUUUCUCAAUGUAUAAUCAAUUGUGGAUUAUGAAUUUUGAUUCUAUGAUGAACUAAACUCUAUUUUGAGAUUACAAUGGAUUCUAUUGCCUAAUUUAUUUUGAUAUACUUCGUUGUUAGUCUUAUUGAUUGCUAUGAGAUUAUCUAUUGAGAUUCAUGCUUAUUUGCUUAGUUGGUUGGCCAUCGAUUAUUGUGAUAAUCCAUAUGAACUUGAAAGACAAAGUAUGGGUUUAGAUCUAAUCUUAAUAGCUUGUGAUUGUAUGUUCUACAUGGUGAUGGGAUGUAAGAUUUGUGCUUAGGAUAGACAUAUAUCGAAGCACCACUCAAAGUCAAUUGAGGAUUUGGGCUUAAACCCUUAUUAUUUAUAAAUCACAUAGACAUAUAGUGGUUUAGGUAAUGUGGGUGUUCAUGUGUAUUCUAUCAAUUGUGGACUACAUAUGAUAUUGGUAUGGUACAUUGAGAGAUGGUUAUACUUUACUUUCGUGUUCUCGACUAACAAUCCGGUGCAAUUAAUUUGGCUUAACAAGAAGUGUGUUGAUUUAAAUGAUUCAAUAGAUGAAAUUGUAAUCUCCAGUCUUCAUUAUCUAGUCUCAUCCUAGGGAUAGUUAGGUUUAUUUAAUUUCAUAGUUUACAUAUACAGGUAGCAAAUCAAUCAUUUAAAUAAGACUGAAAUGGUUAUGGGUUAGUGCUUGGUGAACUUUAUUAGUUAAUUCUUUGUGGGAACAAUACUUUAUUUACUCUUUAUUACUUGUUGACUGUGUAUACUUGUACGCAGAUAUUUAUCGGUAAAACGACCAACAUAAAUCACAAAGCAAUUGAUAGAAAUAUAUAAUCGAUUAAAUGCAACAACAACCAAAGUCACAAAUAAUAAUAAUCAGCCUUUUGCACUUCCAGUAGUCAAAUCUUUCAUCCACAGUACCAACUAACCCAAAUCAGAUGUACCCAUGUUCAAAUAGAUAAAGUAUGUGGUCUUACCCAAAUUGAAUGCGAAUUUACUCGCUUGUAUAUGACAAAACCCAAGCAUAUGAUGUUCGGAUGACCAAGAGGAUGAGAAUGGUUGCAAUCCCCUUUCUAAACGACGAAAACCCUAAUUCAAAGUUGUUACGGUUAAUUGUGUUGACGAUUGCAAUUGUAGGAGAGAUUAGAUGUGAAUAUGGUGUGGAGUGGGAUAUGAAGGAUUUUUGUGGGGGUUUUCAGACUGUCUGACCAGGUGGUUUGUGUUUGUAAUGUAAAGAAUUUGAUAUGAAGUCGACUGGAAGAGGGGUUUUAAAAAAAUUUAAAACAGUGAUCUGUGUCUGAGCGAAAAUUUGUGUUCAGCAAACUUUGUCGGGGUGAGGUUUGACAGAGAGGUGUGGGCCUAGGUCUAGUAGAGAGAUCUGCGCUUAGGUGCAGUUUUCUUGCUUGAAUUCUUCACCGGGGCAAGGGUACAGUGUUUCUGUUUUUUUUUUCACUUUUGCUACCUGCCCCACUCGAUUGCUUAGAAUACUGAUCAUGCUCCCAUUUACUCUCUUCC
rnacentral:lncRNA from 1 species